rnacentral:rRNA from 1 species
CCUACGGGAGGCAGCAGUGGGGAAUCUUGCACAAUGGGGGAAACCCUGAUGCAGCGACGCCGCGUGAGCGAUGAAGUAUUUCGGUAUGUAAAGCUCUAUCAUCAGGGAAGAAAAUGACGGUACCUGACUGAGAAGCCCCGGCUAACUACGUGCCAGCAGCCGCGGUAAUACGUAGGGGUCAAGCGUUAUCCGGAUUUACUGGGUGUAAAGGGAGCGUAGACGGCGGUGCAAGCCAGAUGUGAAAGCCCGGGGCUCAACCCCGGGACUGCAUUUGGAACUGGGCGGCUAGAGUGUCGGAGAGGCAGGCGGAAUUCCUAGUGUAGCGGUGAAAUGCGUAGAUAUAAGGAGGAACACCAGUGGCGAAGGCGGCCUACUGGACGAUGACUGACGUUGAGGCUCGAAAGCGUGGGGAGCAAACAGGAUUAGAUACCCUUGUAGUC